rnacentral:rRNA from 1 species
GACGAACGCUGGCGGCGUGCCUAAUACAUGCAAGUAGAACGCUGAAGAGAGGAGCUUGCUCUUCUUGGAUGAGUUGCGAACGGGUGAGUAACGCGUAGGUAACCUGCCUUGUAGCGGGGGAUAACUAUUGGAAACGAUAGCUAAUACCGCAUAAAAAUGGAUGACACAUGUCAUUUAUUUGAAAGGGGCAAUUGCUCCACUACAAGAUGGACCUGCGUUGUAUUAGCUAGUAGGUGAGGUAAUGGCUCACCUAGGCGACGAUACAUAGCCGACCUGAGAGGGUGAUCGGCCACACUGGGACUGAGACACGGCCCAGACUCCUACGGGAGGCAGCAGUAGGGAAUCUUCGGCAAUGGGGGCAACCCUGACCGAGCAACGCCGCGUGAGUGAAGAAGGUUUUCGGAUCGUAAAGCUCUGUUGUAAGUCAAGAACGGGUGUGAGAGUGGAAAGUUCACAAUGUGACGGUAGCUUACCAGAAAGGGACGGCUAACUACGUG